rnacentral:rRNA from 1 species
UACGAAGGGGGCUAGCGUUGCUCGGAAUCACUGGGCGUAAAGGGUGCGUAGGCGGGUCUUUUAAGUCAGGGGUGAAAUCCUGGAGCUCAACUCCAGAACUGCCCUUGAUACUGAAGAUCUUGAGUUCGGGAGAGGUGAGUGGAACUGCGAGUGUAGAGGUGAAAUUCGUAGAUAUUCGCAAGAACACCAGUGGCGAAGGCGGCUCACUGGCCCGAUACUGACGCUGAGACGCGAAAGCGUGGGGAGCAAACAGG